rnacentral:rRNA from 1 species
AUUGAACGCUAGCGGGAUGCCUUACACAUGCAAGUCGAACGGAGUGGGGAACGGGUGAGUAAUGUAUCGGAACGUGCCCAGUAGCGGGGGAUAACUACGCGAAAGCGUAGCUAAUACCGCCUACUCUUGGCGCGGCAGGUAUCGGAUUAGCUAGUGGGUGGGGUAACGGCUCACCAAGGCGACGAUCCGUAGCUGGUUUGAGAGGACGACCAGCCACACUGGAACUGAGACACGGCCCAGACUCCUACGGGAGGCAGCAGUGGGGAAUUUUGGACAAUGGGGGAAACCCUGAUCCAGCCAUCCCGCGUGUGCGAUGAAGGCCUUCGGGUUGUAAAGCACUUUUGGCAGGAAAGCGGUACCUGCAGAAUAAGCACCGGCUAACUACGUGCCAGCAGCCGCGGUAAUAC